AGAGCGAACGCUGGCGGCAGGCCUAAUACAUGCAAGUCGAACGCACCUUCGGGUGAGUGGCGGACGGGUGAGUAACACGUGGGAACGUGCCCUUUGGUUCGGAAUAAUCCGGGGAAACCUGGCCUAAUACCGGAUGAGCCCUUCGGGGGAAAGAUUUAUCGCCAUUGGAGCGGCCCGCGUCUGAUUAGCUAGUUGGUGGGGUAAAGGCCCACCAAGGCUACGAUCAGUAGCUGGUCUGAGAGGAUGAUCAGCCACACUGGGACUGAGACACGGCCCAGACUCCUACGGGAGGCAGCAGUAGGGAAUCUUGCGCAAUGGGGGAAACCCUGACGCAGCCAUGCCGCGUGAAUGAUGAAGGUCUUAGGAUUGUAAAAUUCUUUCAGCGGGAAGAUAAUGACUGUACCCGCAGAAGAAGCUCCGGCUAACUUCGUGCCAGCAGCCGC
rnacentral:rRNA from 1 species